rnacentral:rRNA from 1 species
CAGUCGCCACGGUAAUACGGAGGGUGCAAGCGUUAAUCGGAAUUACUGGGCGAAAAGCGCACGCAGGCGGUUUGUUAAGUCAGAUGUGAAAUCCCCGAGCUUAACUUGGGAACUGCAUUUGAAACUGGCAAGCUAGAGUCUUGUAGAGGGGGGUAGAAUUCCAGGUGUAGCGGUGAAAUGCGUAGAGAUCUGGAGGAAUACCGGUGGCGAAGGCGGCCCCCUGGACAAAGACUGACGCUCAGGUGCGAAAGCGUGGGGAGCAAACAGGAUUAGAGACCCGCGUAGUCCCUGUCUCUUAUAC